rnacentral:sRNA from 1 species
UUGAAUGCGUGAGGGAUAGCAGCUGUAUCCACUAAGCGAAGCGCAGUGGAUACAGCGGAUAGCCCGACCCCGG